UUCACCACAUUCAUACCUGUCGGGGGGGUCGUCCUUAAAUGACCUUAGAUGUUAAUAGGACGUUGAACAAAAUAAACCAAACCAAACACCUGUCUACAAACUGACAGUUUGCUACAGUGGAGCAACAAUUAAUAAGAGUGCACCAUACAGGUGUUUGGUCCUUCGAGGACGUAUUACCGUGUGUGAUAUAGUAAUGUAAUAAGUAAAAUUGAUGAAUAUAUUAUCUGCCUGACCCUUGGGUGUAACCCAUGUGUUUACCUGGCCAAAGCGUAUCGAUUAACUUAUGUAAUUACCGGUCCUUUGGAUCCCUGUGACCCUUGUGUUACCUAGCAAACGUAUAUUGAUUGAUUUGCUUAUGUAGUUAUCUAUUUACCUUCCUAUGAACCUUCAAUCCGUUGGCCAUCUAUUUCGUAUAAGACCAUGUAAUAGUUAAAGGUCAGGAGUUGUAAACAACUGGCCUAUUCGUGUACAUAUAAGGAACACCUUAUACCUGUUAACGGCGUCAGACUACCUUUGGGAGUCAGAGGAGUAAGAUCUAUUCUCUGUCCCGGGCUUUCGCCCGGGACAAGGCUGCAUGACUAUUACAAAUGUAUUUACAGAUGUAUGAUGUACUAUACACUUAAUAAAGUAUCAACCACAGAAGAAGAAAACUCGAUUUUAUUAUACGUGGUCCUAAAAUAUUGAUGAUAUGAGGCGACCAAUAACUCCAAACAAUUCAACAGAAAAACAAAUAUUUAGAUGGUGAGGUACAAAAGACCAAUGCUUUAUUUGGGACCUAACCUAACAGAGGAAAACUCCGAAAAGUAUCCCUACCAUGUAUGCACCAACCCGACACCAUGGAGCAAUGUAGAUAUCCCGCCAGUAGUUAGAAUCAGAAUCAAAAUUCCUAAAGCAAUGUCAAAUAAUACCAAACUGAAAACAGAUUUACAUAAAAAUUGCGGUAUCUAUACUGUAACUAACACUCAUAGCCAUAGACAUAUGUUUUCAUUAAUGUGGUUUGAUAUGAACAUAUAUUGUACUGGUAUCCCUUAACUAGUAGCUGUGUACACUAUCAAAGAGACAGAAUACACUCCGAUGAUGCUAUGAGACAUUUCAUCAUUAUCUGAUGCAUGGGAAAAAAGGGACCAUCUAAACCAAAGUGGUUUUUUUUAAUUAUAUUUUAUAACCACGUGAUUAUUAAUUAUACAUUAGUGUUUAACAUUACCAUAGCACUACAUAUAUUGACAAUGUUGCCUUUAAUUAAUUUGCAUUUCAAGAGCAUACAUGUAUAAAGUCACUAUAUACGGAAACGUUUUAAGGACUUAAAAUGGUGUCUGAACAAAGACUUUGACUUUUAAUGCGUAUUAAGCCGAAGUCAACAUAUAGGAUUGCGAGUCUAGUGUUAACAAGGACACGUGUGGAAUAUUGUUUUCGAAGCUCUUUUUUCUACGUUUUUCAGAUUAUAACAAACUUAGAUUUUGUUAUGAUCAAACGAGUUUCACUAUUACAUACAUUAAUUAUCUAUUGUUUCCGUUAAGAAAGGGUUCCGUCCUCGCGUUCCUUAACAUCGGUUUUGCCGAUAUACUCGCAUGUGCAGCAUUCCGGUUAAUUGCAAUAUAAGAUAGGCAAACGACGUACAUAACUCAUUGUUGUGCUUGUAAAACAUUGU